AUAGCAUUUGAAAUGUAAAUGAAGAAAAUAUCUAAUAAAAAAGGAUUUGGGACUAUCAGCUUAUUUUAUGUCAUUCAAUGGUGUUGAUGAUGGUACAUUCCCCAGCACAAUAAAGCUAAGCUUUCAAAUACACUCAGCUUAAAAGCUUCUCUUUUAUGUAAAUAUUGGAGAUUUCGUGUAAGGUUUAAAAUAUUUUGUGUUCAUAAAGGUUGUGAUUUUACCCUCUUCAUGAUUGGAAAUUUAAAACUGGUUACUGAGAAGUAAGUCUGUUGGCCAAUUUUUCAAGCUCUAAAUUUCUGCAGUAUUUAGGACUAACAAGAGAGGUGUUUUUCCUUGCCUAAACCAUCCGUUUUAACUGUUGGUCACUUAAGUGCUGAUGAAUAUGGUAUAUGGAGAAAGAAAAGUUAGAGAAUGGAAGUUGAAAGGAUUGGCUCUCGGGUUCAUGCCUCAGACCCUUUCCUUUUGGCACUAAAUGAUACUUCUGUCUUUUAUGCUGCUCAGGCGCAGCAUGCAACGUGAAGGCGACUGCAAGUUGCAGAACCUUGACCUUUCUCAUCUACUGAAACUGCAUUUGUUUGUACCUUGUUGAUUAAACAAUAUGGGAAAUAAUAGUGAAGAUGCAUGAUGUUUUCGUUAUUUCAUAGCAAAGCGAAUAUGAAUAAAAGGAUGAAAAAUAGAAUGUUCACGUGCCAUAUUUUAUUUUUAUGAUGCGAUGGCACUUGAUGUUUGGAAUAAUAAGAAAGAAUUAUUUCUCUUCAGUAAAAACAAAUCACCUGUGCUUUAAGGUAAAUCCUAUAAAUGGUUUAUGUAUCGCGUGAUUAUUUCAUCCCAUUUCAGCAAGUUACUUCUCAAAGCAUUAGUGUCUGGUUUGCAUUAUGGCUGGUAAUGUUUUCAGAACUAAUGCCAUGUUCCUAAUGCAAUUUUAGUAUGACUGGAAUUUACAAAAUAUUAUUCAUUGUAAUGUGAUGUAAAAUUAUAUCCUAUCAUGUAUAGUAAUUUUCAGAUGGGAAAUAAAUUCAAGAAACUUACCACCAGAUUAUUUAUUUCCAGGGAUCAGAUAUUGUUCUAGUUAAGAUACUCA
rnacentral:lncRNA from 1 species